rnacentral:rRNA from 1 species
GAUGAACGCUGGCGGCGUGCCUAAUACAUGCAAGUCGAGCGAACAGAUGAGGAGCUUGCUCCUCUGACGUUAGCGGCGGACGGGUGAGUAACACGUGGAUAACCUACCUAUAAGACUGGGAUAACUUCGGGAAACCGGAGCUAAUACCGGAUAAUAUAUUGAACCGCAUGGUUCAAUAGUGAAAGACGGUUUUGCUGUCACUUAUAGAUGGAUCCGCGCCGCAUUAGCUAGUUGGUAAGGUAACGGCUUACCAAGGCAACGAUGCGUAGCCGACCUGAGAGGGGGAUCGGCCACACUGGAACUGAGACCCGGUCCAGACCCCUACGGGAGGCAGCAGUAGGGAAUCUUUCGCAAUGGGCGAAAGCCUGACGGAGCAACGCCGCGUGAGUGAUGAAGGUCUUCGGAUCGUAAAACUCCGUUAUUAGGGAAGAACAAAUGUGUAAGUAACUAUGCACGUCUUGACGGUACCUAAUCAGAAAGCCACGGCUAACUACGUG